ensembl:lncRNA
AUUAGAGGACCUGCAGGGCUUGGAAAGGAGCUGGAAAAAUGCAGUGGUGUGUUUUCUGCAGGUGCUUUUAAAGACACAGCUCUCAUAAUUCUGUUAUGGAUAUCUUACUGCUGUCGGACGUUUGAGGUCUUAUGAACUGGGGUUUAUCCUGACCUUUUUCAUUUACCUUAUGGUUGCUAGAGUACUUUUCAGCUUUAUCUCAUAAGGCAUUUGGAGUAUGUGUAGUUUGCACUCGGGGUUCACUUUGCUACAGCAACUACAAAGCUUGAAUUCAGGUUCAUCCAUGCAUUUUAAUGCCCCUUAUCUACCAUUUGCCUAUCAAGAGAGUGGCCUUUAGCCUGGGAAAUAGGCAUCCUCAGAGAGUUUUGUAGAUAGUAGUGAUAUGGGGAACCAGUGCAGGUUUGACUGAAUCAGAAAGGACGGGUCCUGGGUAAAACAGGCCAUGAGUCGAAAGAGAGAGGGGGAGUUGAAAAAAGGAAUAAGAGGGAGAAGGGAGCAGGAGCCAAGAAGCAAAGAGCCAAAGAUAUCCCCUUUGAUAUUGUUUGGUUUGUGACACCAGGACAGUGGAUAUAUAAAAACUGACCUGGCCUCCAGGUUCUCCCAUCAUCCCUCAAUCCCUAUCUGACAUACCCUGCUGUGCCCAGCCCUAAACUUUCCAGCCCAGGAGUUGGGUUGCACUUUGCCCAGAGUCUCUUCCCUAUAUUUUGGACUCUCUCUCUCUCUCUUUCUCUCUCUCUCUCUCUCUCUCUCUCUCUCUCUCUCUCUCUCUCUCUCUCAAUUUCACUACCACUUCCUCCUCUUCUUGUCCUUCUCUAUUUUCUCUCUGUAUGCCUGCCCGUUCUUUCUCUCUCCCUAUUCCCCCUCCCCCUUUGGCGACUCUUCUGUCGUCCUCCAUUCUUAGGGGCCACUAUACUUGUCCAGGACCAGCUUCCCAAUAAACCUGAUUAAUAUAUUCUAAUCUGGCUUGAAUUGUCUCAUUUCAUUGCUGGAGAAAUAACCUGAGUUAUUCAUUUUCCCUGAGUUUCUAUUAGACCUAAUAAGGUCUUGGUCAGCCAAGUAUACAUGCUGUGUAUUUUUAUAGCUAGAAAUCUCAAUACAAAGCAGAACAAAAUUAGAAAGCACUUUUUGAAUAACUAUGAUUGCUCACUUACAUUAGAAAGAUGUCUUUAUUUCAAGAAAGCACUGUGCCCAUGCAUGUUUGGCCAAGCUGCUGUGUUUUCUUUGCAUAAUUUUUUGACACUGAGUUCUGUGACUGUAAACUUCUUACAGGAGUGGAAAUGCCAGUAACAACUUUUUUUUCAGAGACCUCCUUUAGGAGGCAUACAGCAGUCUGGAUUCUGUGGAUCAGAAUAGUUUUCUUGCAGUCUUUCUUGCUCUUUCUCAUGUUCUGGGGUAAACAACUUUACUUGUGCGUAUGAAUGAGUUUCCUGUCUGAUACAGGAGAGUGAAAUCCUCAGAGAAAAAAGACACCUUUGUUAAGGUAUUUUCUCUUUCCUUCAUGUUUAUUCGUUUGGUAGGUGGGAGCAUUUCCUUUUUGUUCCCUGAAAUGUUCCAAGUACUUUCUCAAAAAUCUCCUUCCCACAUGUGGGUGUCUGGCUGUCCAGCCAGAUCUGCUCAGCUGUGAAUCAGAACUAAGAGCCCAGGAUGGUGAAGACGGAUACAGACUCUUAGAGACAACGUAGAAGAUAUCAACUGGACAUAACUGAUAUUCCCAUGAACUUGCCAGCUGUGAAGAUACUCUCAUAAAAUGUAUUAUUUCAUACCACUCUUGGGGAGUUAAGGAUGCAGUCAUGUUUUCAUUAUUGUACAUCUGUGACAUUGCAAAAGAUAGUAUUUCAUAGCUCAGAUCUCAAAUCUCUAGCUUUUAUGAUUUCCUAUUACUGGCUGUGCAGACAGAAGUUACUGGUUCUCUGUAUUUGUCCAGUUAUGGUUUUCUGAAAUAAUUUUGUCGUUUGUAAACAACUUGUAUUAUUUUCUAUUUUUAAAAAAUUAUUUUUCACUGGCCUUUCGGGGUUCAUUGGAAAUCUGAGGGGAGGGGCGAAAGAAAGGGGGACAGGAGGCACAAAGUAGGAGAGCAAGUCUGUGUUCUGAUCAAGCUCUCAAACUUAAAUGAAAAAAAAAAGCGACUUAUAAAGACAAGCUGGCAGGAAUGUCACCCAGGGCCCAGGACCAAUUUCAUUACGGUCACCACCCUCCCUAUAGCCCUAAACCAUAAGUUGCGGAUAUAAACUGAUAAGAACAGUUUUUCUAGAGGCAGAAGCUAUAAAAAUGAUAAGAACUAAGAAUGAACAACUGGCUAAGUGUCGCAGAGGGUGUAAAUGGGCUUGACAUUCCUAAAACAUUCCUGGGACAAAGGGUGUGUAAGCCACUUGGCUCUCGCAGUUCUUCCUUAUACAUUGUCAUCAGCAUUAGUUUUUGUUCCUGACCUGGCUGAGAGGAAGCUCAGAGUUUUGUGGAUGAAAAUAUUAUUCACGAUUCAUAGCAUGAAGCACACUUAGUAUAUAAUUACUGGCAGUUUCUCCUGGGUGCAGAGUGCCCACGUCCUCUGGGUCCAUGAUUUAUGGCCCUCAAGAUUCUUCAUUUUCUCCCAUGUUUCUUUUGAAGUAAACCCUGUCAUGGGAAUCUGAAAAUCUUUAUCAAAAGAGAUAGUUUGAAUUCUAUGGAGUAUACUUUUCUGUAUUAAUGAUUAUAUAAAAUAUUGUUUUCAAAAGGAAGACCUAUAUGGUACAUUAGUGCAACAGAAAUGCUGCAGUAAAACAGGGUUGAUAGUUAUUUGUGAUAAGAAAGGGAGCCAUGUCUUGCUGAGUUGAUUCAUUCUUAAGUCUAACAAACUUAUAGAAGGAUGGGCCCUAAAUACAGGUGGACUUUGUAAAAUGCAGUCUAGUUAAGUUUAGAGACCACUGUUGGAUACCAGAAACCAUUGGAAUAAAGAAUGAAUUACUGAUUCAAAUAGCACAUUCAUGUUCCUUCUCUUCUUCAGGGUUAAUAAUCUUGCAUCAUGAAAGGUUGUAUAGUAUAGUUAGUCUGUUCCAAAGGAAACUCUAUGCUGAUGAGCUACAGGAGCAUGUAUGUACCAGAGUAGGUAGGUGUUGUGGUUCUUCCUCAGGAGUUACCAGAUUUGGAGUUUGUGAAGUUUUUAAUUCAGGUGAUAUGGAGCUCAAAAAUCUUGAAACCAGUGGCCCUGACACUCAGCAUUUAGUGUGUCCUGUGGUUCUUGGUGCUUUUCCCUUCUAGAAAAUAUGGAUUUUUCUGUUACUGAUAAAUACUAUUUCCC